UACGAAGGGGGCUAGCGUUGCUCGGAAUCACUGGGCGUAAAGCGCACGUAGGCGGAUUGUUAAGUCAGGGGUGAAAUCCUGGAGCUCAACUCCAGAACUGCCUUUGAUACUGGCGAUCUUGAGUCCGGGAGAGGUGAGUGGAACUGCGAGUGUAGAGGUGAAAUUCAUAGAUAUUCGCAAGAACACCAGUGGCGAAGGCGGCUCACUGGCCCGGUACUGACGCUGAGGUGCGAAAGCGUGGGGAGCAAACAGG
rnacentral:rRNA from 1 species